rnacentral:rRNA from 1 species
CCUACGGGGAGCAGCAGUCGAGAAUCAUUCACAAUGGGGGAACCCCUGAUGGUGCGACGCCGCGUGGGGGAAUGAAGGUCUUCGGAUUGUAAACCCCUGUCAUGUGGGAGCAAAUUAAAAAGAUAGUACCACAAGAGGAAGAGACGGCUAACUCUGUGCCAGCAGCCGCGGUAAUACAGAGGUCUCAAGCGUUGUUCGGAAUCACUGGGCGUAACGCGUGCGUAGGCUGUUUCGUAAGUCGUGUGUGAAAGGCGCGGGCUCAACCCGCGGACGGCACAUGAUACUGCGAGACUAGAGUAAUGGAGGGGGGACCGGAAUUCUCGGUGUAGCAGUGAAAUGCGUAGAUAUCGAGAGGAACACUCGUGGCGAAGGCGGGUUCCUGGACAUUAACUGACGCUGAGGCACGAAGGCCAGGGGAGCGAAAGGGAUUAGAUACCCGGGUAGUC